UCGGAACUUUUACCGGUCGGAGGACUAAAAUUUGACACCGUAUGCAAGAUUGGUCCUCUUCCGCCCGGGGGCGUCUUGACCGUGAAGCCAGAAGUCCCCCUCACCGCGUCAUGCGUGGGGAAACUGUUGACAAGGUUCUCGCAGGAAACACCAGCGCUGAGAAGGACUUGUGACAGAACUAAAGUGGACCUAACCGAGGCUAGUACGUAGAGAGAGAGGGGAGGGAUAAGGGGUGGCAGGAAUGGCAGCACAGGGACGAAGGAAACAUGGUACUUGCUUUCUCCGGAUCAAAGAACACUGUCCGUUCCGAAAGCUAAGGAAAAACAAAUGCUAUGAUAUAGAAAAUGUACCAUCCAAAAAAAUAGGGGAGCACUGGGCCCACUUCAGUGCUCACCCAAACCUGGCCGUGCCACAGGCAGACAGUGGAAUUUCUGUUGUCUGUUUGGAGCCCUAUGCCACAGUUUCUUUCCAUCAGCCUGCAUGCUGCCUUGACCAAUCACAGGAACAGCCUAUGGACACUGACAAUGCAAGACCCUCUGCCUCCCGAGCAGGCCCCUCGGAUGCCCCCUGUGCUUCAUCCUCUCCUGCUCCCAACCCCUCAGCCCCUGUCCCUGUCCCCGUCCCCCAGCACCUACCGAACCUGCUUCCCUUUAACUGUGACCCCAGUAUGGACCUGGACAGUGGUGUUGACCCGGAGACAGGGGAGAGAGCACAAGGCUGAUUCUCCAGGAUCCCCUGAAAUGUAAAACUGGUUCAUCUUGCUGGGAACCUAACCAUAUGUAUAUAUUUUGUCUUUUUCAAACAUGAGGGUAUUGUUUAUUUGCUUGUUUUUGGUUCAUGAAUAGGUUGGCUAUUACCUAUGAAAUUGAAUAAUAUUUUAAUAUUUAAGUGUGUGGAUUUCUCAGAAUCAAGUGGUUUUCUUUGGUUACUGCAGGCUUAACGGUGACGGCCAUCCAACACAACACUGUAUGACUCAUUUCAGUGGGGCUCAAACAUCUUAUAAACUGUGAAAGCCUUCAAUGAAUGAUCAGUCUAGCAGUUCUUCAUCGUGAACAUUCCCUUCCCUUUUUUAUAUAAAGACCUGGAAAAAGGCCAGUUUCUUUUUAAAUUGAUAGGAAAUGCAACAGAGUGGAGGCCCUGGUUAAGCACAAAGGUCGUAAUCCAUUCUUCAUGUGUCCAUAUAAGGCUCAAACAUUUGUUGGACUAAAAACAUGCUAACACCUAAGUACAACAUCAGCGUUGCUGACCGUAGAGGUAAGCAGGGUGAAAAUAUGUGGGUAUGUGACCUCAGGUUACUCUGAAAAACUGAUUGUUGCUAUGGAGCAUGUGUGCUGUGUCAUGACAAAGUGGAGUGAGUUUAUAUUGCGCCGUUUAAAAUACCAUUUUGGGCGCAUAACUGAAUGCUACAGCCUGAACUUUAUGUUGGGGGGGAGAAAAGAAACAAUAAAAUAAAAAUAAUAGAAAUAAGCAAUAAAAUAAAAAUAAACAUGCAGUAAAUGAUUCAGUCAGAUUAACCUUUUACAGACAAACCAGUUGAAGAAACUAUGCUUGGUGCGAUAGACUACUGCAGCAAUGCACCCAGAUCAUUCAGAUCGACGGGUAUGUAGUUUAAAUAAGCAUAAUCUCAAGAUUGUAGGUUAAAUGCGAAUAAUGUUCUUGAGCUUUUAUCCUAGAGCUUUCGAUUUGUGUUCCAUACUGAUUCAUUGCAAUUAUGGUAGAAGCAUGCUUAUCUUACAGUAAGAAUUAAAUUUUUUGGAGCCUACAUCAAAAAAAAAAAACAAAAAAAAAAAACAACCUGUCACUGCUCUUUGCAAAUAUUUUGUGGGCAUUUUCGAUAUUAAAACCAGGAAGAGAAUGCUAAUGUGUGUGGGCCUUUAAAAGGAAGUGUUAAAUAACCAUUUUCCAGAGGGAUCGAUUUAAAAUUCUGAACUUAAGCGCCCUUUAUGCUGCCUGCAAUUCUUUUUUGCUACCGAUGUACUGCCAACUAAACACUUUUUUUUUUUCUUGUGGCUACUUGCUUAGCAGACUCUAGGCGCACAUUUUGCUAAUAUUAAUCCCAACAGUCAAUGGUCAUUUUCACACACAGGGUAUUAUCAGACCUCACUCCUGUGUUUUGCCCUUAACGUUUUUUAGUGACGAUUUUUAACAGUAUUGUAUUUCUUGUUACAUUUGUCGGCAGCUGAAUUUAUAACAUGAAACGGUGUUGUAAAUGCAUUACUUAAAGCUAAAGACAGAGUACAUUCACUUUGACAGUGAUGUGUUCAGUGAAAAUAACUCCUGUGAAAAUGAGCAUUGAUAGUGAAAAUAAGGCUGAGCAGAAGAGGGUGUAAUUCUGAGUGAAAGUGAAAUUACACAGUGGUGUAUCUGUUGCUCAGUCAGUGAAUGGUGUCUUGAAUUAUUACCAGGUUGUUUAUAACUGAAUGUAAAUGGUUUGUUUGUCAAUAAAGGCAAUAAAAUGCGAUUCACAA